UCAGAUGGCCGGAAGAUCGCUGCUAUGCUUUUAUGAGUAUGGGAGAGGAAAGUCCGGGCACCACGGAAGAACGGUGCUGGUUAAUGGCCAGCGAAGGUGACUUCAGGGAAAGUGCCACAGAAAGCAAACCGCCAUUUGUUUGGUAAGGGUGAAAGGGUGCGGUAAGAGCGCACCGCUUUUCUGGUGACAGAAAAGGCAUGGUAAACCCCACCGGGUGCAAAAUCGAAUAGGAACGACAGGCAGUUUGCCACUUUCUUUCGAAGUGUCGUUCGGGUUGAUUGCAUGAGAUAAUUGGCAACAAUUAUCCUAGAUGAAUGAUCUUACAUUCUAUGCUUCUUAGGAAGUAUGGAAGGACAGAACCCGGCUUAUAGGCCAUCUGACAUA
rnacentral:RNase_P_RNA from 1 species